CGCCUGUUUAUCAAAAACAUUUCUGUCGGUUUACGAGACAGUAAGGCCUGCCCGGUGGAGUCUAAACGGCUGCGGUAUUUUGACCGUGCUAAGGUAGCAUAAUCAUUUGCUUCUUAAUUGGUAGCUGGAAUGAAAGGUUAAACUGAUUUAACUAGUUUGUUUUUCUAGUUAGGACCUUUAAGUCAAGGUAAAAAUUCUUUGAUAGGCUAGGGGACGAUAAGACCCUAGAAGCUUAACAAUUAGGCUAGGUGUUAGUUGUGUCUGUAGCUAUGUUUUACUGGGGCGGUAAGGGUGUUUAAACCACUUAGGUUUUAGUUGGUCCUCUAUAUUGGGAUAGAUUGGUUUAGUUACUCUAGGGAUAACAGUGCUAUAUAUUUGAAGAGACCUUAUCGAUAAAUAUUUU
rnacentral:rRNA from 1 species